GGUGUACUUGUCUACUCAGACCCUUUGGACAUCAACGAUGGUCUCAUGUCGGACAGCAAUGAGACGUUAUUGUUUUACCUCCGCGAAGACAACUAACGUUACAUCGUGUCCCCGCUAACUCCGUUGUUUACUAAGAGAAGGUUAUUAUUUGUCUUUAAGUGUGAGUUUCUUAGUUUAGGGCUGCAACUAAUUAUUAUUUUCAUUAUCAAUUAAACUGAAUAUUAUUAUCUUGAUUAUCCUGUCUAGUAACGAAGUAGAAAUAUUUAGUUACUUUACUUAAGUCGUUUUUUUGGGUAUCUUAAUUUAUUUUACUACUUAUUUCUGGGCGAACUCUUUUCUUUUGUCGGAGUGAAAGUUUCUUCCUACCGGAUGAAGUGCCUCUUAUGCCGACCGAAAGCUACGGAGAUAUUGGCCUUCAAAAACACACCAUCCAACCUCAGGAAACACAUUGAGGAAUGGACUACAUCAAGCAGCACAUGGAAGAACCCUCCCUGCAGCUAGGGGAUGCCACCAGGUCCAGUUCAUCUGAUGAAGAGGACUUCUUCUUCGUCAUCUCAAGCCCAUGACAGCAGCAAACAGCUGGAUGGAGACGUGACCUGUUCAGCAGAUCAUUGACUUGCUGAAAUGCUUCCCAACUGUGUGCUGCUGUCUGUGAAGCUAGACACACUCUACCUGCACCAGGGCCUGUGAAGCUAGACACACUCUACCUGCACCAGGGCCUGUGAAGCUAGACACACUCUACCUGCACCAGGCCUGUGAAGCUAGACACACUCUACCUGCACCAUGUGAACGGCUCUUCAGCAUCGCAGGACUCGUCUUCAGCCCCAGAAGAGCGGCACUGACAUCUAGCCAUUUUGAAAAUCAACUUCUUUUGAAGAUGAACAAGAAUUUGUUCAGUUUAAAGUGAUGAUUCUGGUUGUUACUUUUGGUUCUGCUUUUUUCUGUGUUAAUCGUGUUUUUAUAUUUUAGUAAUUUCAUAGUAUUCAUAUAUUGCUAAGUUCAUCCUAGCUCAUACUCCUUGUUCAUGGCGGCCACAGCACCCAAACAAAUAAACUUCAUAAUUCUCAAAAGUCUGA